rfam:Hymenolepis nana genome assembly, scaffold: HNAJ_contig0000688
GGGGCUCUAGCUCAUAUGGUAGAGCGCUCGCUUGGCAUGCGAGAGGUGCUGGGAUCGUUACCCAGGUGCUCCA